UACGAAGGAUGCAAGCGUUAUCCGGAUUUAUUGGGUUUAAAGGGUGCGUAGGCGGACUUAUAAGUCAGUGGUGAAAUCUCGUUGCUUAACAACGAACGUGCCAUUGAUACUGUAGGUCUUGAGUACAGAUGCCGUCGGCGGAAUGUGUCAUGUAGCGGUGAAAUGCAUAGAUAUGACACAGAACACCGAUUGCGAAGGCAGCUGACGAAACUGUAACUGACGCUGAGGCACGAAAGCGUGGGGAUCAAACAGG
rnacentral:rRNA from 1 species